AGAAUGUAAUUAUUUUCAUCCAAAGAUAUAUAUAUCAAUAUUCAUUUAUAUAAAUAUAUCAUCUUUAAACUAUAUAUAAUUUCAUAUAUAUUAUUUAAUUUUCCUGCAUGUUGUAUUUUACCAUAAUUACACAUUAUAGAAAUAUUGUCCUUCUUAAUACACAUCUUUGUUUUAUAUUGCCACUUGUUGGUAACUGUUCCCAAGAUUGCACCCUAUACUAUUCCUUUUGCUGUACCCUCCCUACAGUUCCUUGUAUGCUAAUGGAACUAAAGGUAUCCUGUUUGGCUAAAGCAAUCAGUCAAGAUUCUACGCCAGAGAGAUCCCAGCCACUCAGACGUUUGCUGACUCACUUCCUACCAUCUAGCUGGGUUUAUAACCCUAGGUAACGUCUCCUAGGGAACUAUGUCCUGGCCUAAUUUAGAUUUAAUAUAAUAUUGAUCACCUUUCUAAUGUAAAAUUGGAUAUUAUAAUUUCUCUUAUAAAAUAUCACCCUAAAUUAUAUUAGUGAUAUCAAUAUAUAUGCUAAAUUUUUAAAAUUUAAUAUAAAUUAACCAAAAUUUUAAUGCUG
rnacentral:lncRNA from 1 species